AUGACAGGUGUUUCAGAGGGAAUGAACAGACCUCUUUUUAAAGUGCUUUGAGAGCUACUGAUUGAAGAUGUUAAUAAGAGGCUUCUCCGAGGAAGAGGAGGCCCAGAAAGACAAAAAAGAAACCGAAAGCUUUUGGACGCUGUGAGGAAGAGGUGGAGGAGGCUGGUGCAUCCCCAGAGA